rnacentral:rRNA from 1 species
UACAGAGGUCUCAAGCGUUGUUCGGAAUCACUGGGCGUAAAGGGAGCGUAGGCUGUCGUGCAAGUCGGGUGUGAAAUACCGGGGCUCAACUCCGGAACUGCACCCGAUACUGCAUGACUUGAGCAACAGAGGGGAAACCGGAAUUCUCGGUGUAGCAGUGAAAUGCGUAGAUAUCGAGAAGAACACUCGUGGCGAAGGCGGGUUUCUGGAUGUAUGCUGACGCUGAGGCUCGAAGGCCAGGGGAGCGAAAGGG